rnacentral:rRNA from 1 species
GUGGGGAAUAUUGGACAAUGGGCGCAAGCCUGAUCCAGCCAUGCCGCGUGAGUGAUGAAGGCCUUAGGGUUGUAAAGCUCUUUCAGUGGGGACGAUAAUGACGGUACCUACAGAAGAAGCCCCGGCUAACUUCGUGCCAGCAGCCGCGGUAAUACGAAGGGGGCUAGCGUUGUUCGGAUUUACUGGGCGUAAAGCGCACGUAGGCGGAUUGGUCAGUUAGAGGUGAAAUCCUGGAGCUCAACUCCAGAACUGCCUUUAAUACUGCCAGUCUAGAGUCCAGAAGAGGUGAGUGGAACUCCUAGUGUAGAGGUGGAAUUCGUAGAUAUUAGGAAGAACACCAGUGGCGAAGGCGGCUCACUGGUCUGGUACUGACGCUGAGGUGCGAAAGCGUGGGGAGCAAACAGGAUUAGAUACCCCGGUAGUCC